rnacentral:rRNA from 2 species
GAUGAACGCUAGCGAUAGGCCUAACACAUGCAAGUCGAGGGGCAGCACAUGAGUAGCAAUACGAUGGUGGCGACCGGCGCACGGGUGAGUAACACGUAUGCAACCUACCUCUAACAGGGGGAUAACCCGUUGAAAGACGGACUAAUACCCCAUAAUACAGGGGCUCCGCAUGGAGAUAUUUGUUAAAGAUUUUAUCGGUUAGAGAUGGGCAUGCGUUCCAUUAGCUAGUUGGUGAGGUAACGGCUCACCAAGGCGACGAUGGAUAGGGGAACUGAGAGGUUUAUCCCCCACACUGGAACUGAGACACGGUCCAGACUCCUACGGGAGGCAGCAGUGAGGAAUAUUGGUCAAUGGAGGCAACUCUGAACCAGCCAAGUCGCGUGAAGGAUGAAGGUCUUAUGGAUUGUAAACUUCUUUUGCAGGGGAAUAAAUAGCGGUACGUGUACCGUUUUGCAUGUACCCUGCGAAUAAGGAUCGGCUAACUCCGUGCCAGCAGCCGCGGUAAUACGGAGGAUCCGAGCGUUAUCCGGAUUUAUUGGGUUUAAAGGGUGCGCAGGCGGGAGAUUAAGUCGGCGGUGAAAUUUUGCAGCUCAACUGUAAAAGUGCCUUCGAUACUGGUUUCCUUGAGUGUGGAUGAAGUAGGCGGAAUUUGUGGUGUAGCGGUGAAAUGCUUAGAUAUCACGAGGAACUCCGAUUGCGCAGGCAGCUUACUAAACCACUACUGACGCUCAGGCACGAAGGCGUGGGGAUCAAA